rnacentral:rRNA from 16 species
GGAUGCGAUCAUACCAGCACUAAAGCAACGGAUCCCAUCAGAACUCCGAAGUUAAGCGUGCUUGGGCGAGAGUAGUACUAGGAUGGGUGACCUCCUGGGAAGUCCUCGUGUUGCAUUCA